UACGGAGGAUCCAAGCGUUAUCCGGAAUCAUUGGGUUUAAAGGGUCCGUAGGCGGUUUUGUAAGUCAGUGGUGAAAUCUGGUCGCUCAACGAUCAAACGGCCAUUGAUACUGCAAGACUUGAAUUAUUGUGAAGUAACUAGAAUAUGUAGUGUAGCGGUGAAAUGCUUAGAUAUUACAUGGAAUACCGAUUGCGAAGGCAGGUUACUAACAAUGGAUUGACGCUGAUGGACGAAAGCGUGGGGAGCGAACAGG
rnacentral:rRNA from 1 species